UGGGGUGGUAAAGGGAACCAGAAAAUCACGGUCCACUUGAUCGGCAUCUGGUGGUCACUGGGAGCUCGGACAAAGGAGGCAGAGGUUUGGGGGAGGAAAUCUACUUCCCAGGGCACUGUCGGAACUCAUACAAUUCAAUUCUACAGAGAUGGACUGAGAUCAAGGAGUGGUCAUCUGAGGGAGCAGCCCUUAGUCACGUGAGUCUAAAGAUAGGCUGAAAAUCUGGGGGUCCAGACAGUGGAGGUCAGGAGACAUGCAAACCAGGAUCUGGGAUAGAGUUAAAGAUCCAGGUGGAGCAUAUUGUUGACAGAGAAGAAAAUGGCAGGUGGUUAUCAGGGGCCUUGACCAAGGGGGCAGUAGGUUAGGGGCACUGUUGAUACUGACACCGUUCAAGUCCUCAGAUAUUAAUUAGAACCUCUGACGUGCCCGACCCACUGUUAGACACUAGUGACAACACAGUGCCUGCCUGCCAGGUGCUCACAGUCCAGUGGGGAGCACAGGUAGUUAAGCAGAUCAUUGUAGCUCUGAGAGAUCAGGUGCUGUAACAGAACGUGAUGGGAGCUCCUUGUUGGGAAAGUGGAUCCAUCCUGUGGAUAAGGAACAGUUUCCUAGAGAAGGUAACAUCUCAACUAAGACCAUGAGGAAGCAGCAGGAAAAAAGGGAGCAGCAUGUGCAAAGGCCAGGAGGUCAGGAAGCCACUGUGCACUACUAGGAGCUGCCAGCCAUGCAGUGUGGCUUUGGAGCAGAUAUUCAAAGAGAACAUGGGGUGAUUGGAAGUUUGUUGGAGGUGGGAAUGGCUGGAAGCUGGAGAGAUUACAGGGGAUGGCAUCACAGAUGAAGGGGUUCGAGGGCACAAGACAGGGGGCUUUAGAGAACUUCAAGCAAAGGAGUGACGUGACCAGAUCUGUGCUUUAGAAAGAUCUCUCUGAUUGCAUUGUGGGGGUUCUGGUUCUGGGCAACAUGAACUAAACCUGUUCCACCCUGUCUCUCCCACUGCAAUCAGCUAGAAAGCCUGGAUGGAGUACAUGGAGCAGUUAUUCGAGGAAUCUGAUAGUAGCAAGCGGGCUGGGGAAGAAGAUCAGCAUUUGAAGUGCCCCUAAACAGGUGCUGAGCCCCCAUUUUUCCCUCUCUGGCAUUUCCUGGACUCAGAGCAGCCUGAAACCUGGAAGGCGGCAUCAGCACAGAGAAAGAUUCAGGACAACCUCUUUCGUUCAGGUUCAAGGAGUGAGAAGGGGCUCUCCUAAUGCUGAGGGAGUGGGAAAAUCCUUGUUUUUUCCCCUUUUCCCUGUUCUCUUGCAUCCCAGUACCUAAGCAAUCCUGAGGUGGCUUGAAGGGGAGCCCAGGCCCUAAGGGAGGGCAAACUCCUCUCUGAUUGGAGGAGCUGUGGUCCCAACAGGGUGGGCUAAACCCUUGUUGCUUUUUUUCUUUUUUUUUUUUAACUCUUUCUUCCAUCGCUUGGUCCCAGACAUGGGCUGACUUGCAGCGAGCAUGCGGCAGUGAGGUAAAUAAAGCCCCACCUUUCUGGCUAGAGACCAAAAAGAGCAGCCCCAGGGGACCAUAAAAUAUUGGAGAGACCAUGGAGGGGCAGGAGCUCAGGAAAGCAACCUCAGAAAGCUGUUCGUGAACCCCUGGGCUCCCCCAGAGCUGCACAGGCACGGAUCUGACUUGAGAGAGAAUGUCAUAGACUUUGAGAGCUGACCCACGGGAUAAACCAUAGCCCAGCGCCCAGACCGUCCACUGGGGGGCACACACGUGGGUCACAUCUGAACAGCACUGCAGAGGCUUUGAGAACGGUACUAAUAUUUAAACCGCAGCAACAGGGGACUGGUCAGAACCUGCAGCCUGAACCCAGCAGAGUCUGCUAAAUGAAGCGGUUUCCCUGCUGAAACAAGAACAUCAACAUUCCCCACAGGUUUGAAAUAAAUCCUAGAGUCUUGUAAUAUCCAAAUACAUUAUCCAGGAAAAGAAUCCAAAAUUACUUAGCAUAUAAAGAAGCCAGGAAAACCUUAAUUUCAUUGGAAAAGAACCAACCGAUGCCAAAGCCAAGAGGUCACAGAUGUUUGAAGUAUCCAACAAAGACUUUAAAGCAGCACCUGUAAGAAUGUUCCAAGAUACAAGGGCAAACCCUCUUGAAAUGAGUGGAAAGAUAGUCUCAGCAAAAUAAUAGAAGAUGCUAAAUGGAAAAAAGGGCCAAAUGGAAAUUUUAGAAGUGAAAAAUACAAUAGCCAAAAGUUUGAAAACUGAAUAGGCUCCAUGGAGAUGACAGAGUCAGUGAACUUGAAGAUGGAAAAGAGGCUGGAGCUUAUUGCAGCUGAGGGACCUGAAGACAGUGUGACUCAAUCUUGGGUGCCUCUCCAUGAUGUGGGGCUUUGCUCUCAGGCAGUUACAAACCAUCCCUAAGCGUCUACUGGUUCCUAGCUCAGAACGUGGUCUUUUCCCCACAUCUGUGGCCCUCUAUGACCACAGAAUGGAGCCGUGUGGCUGACUGGCACCAUCGGCAGCUGAGCUUCAUGUGGCUGCCUCCAUAUCCCACCUCUUCCCUCUCAGCCUUGGGGCCCCCAUGCACCUGUGUCUCGGAGGAUUUGGGGGGCCCUGGGAGUUCCUGGGUCGACCUGGGAAUUCUGAUAAGACUCUGAGCAGCCACGCUUGCUCUUUCGCUGGAUUUGGAUCUCCAUGUUGGCCCAUGUGCUAGGCCACUGAGAGCCUUAGAGACACUUGUGUUCUGUUCUCAACAAGAAGGGAAGAAUAAAGGCCCUAAUGAAAACUGGGAACGUUUUAGAAAAUCUAACUUUCCAGGCCUACAAACAUAAGACAGGAAAGUGAGUGUAAGCCUGGAUUUGUGGUCUACACCAUAAGAUUUGGAGCUCUGCGGGUCCCUUCACAGGAGCAAACAGCAUGUGAAUCACCUUGCGUGCCCCAAAGCUCUGAGCAGGGCUGGCUGGCGGGGAGAAAAGCUGCAGCAACAGAUGCUUUUGGGGCAACCAGGUUGUCAACGAGCUCCCAAGAAGCCACUGGAAGAGGAGACUUGGGAGGACAGGGGAUGCGACAAGGAAAUAAAGAAAGAAAUCCGGGCGUAGGUUCCAAGGCAGAGGAUGGCACGUUGUGGGCAGCCUGGCCUUCUUGCCGUCUCUCCCUGGUCUAACCGUUUAGAUCAAUGUAAACUUUAGGAAUAGAAGAGCUGAAAAAAACAAGCUAAGAACUGACUGAAAGAGUGUGCACUUCAUCAAAGCUGCUCUGUUUGGUAUUUCUGUUUCAUUUCUCAAUCAAUGAUCAAAAUUUAAAAAUAUCCGCAAAGACGUUUUAUAAAUUGUGAUAAAAUAUACAUAACCUAAAACUUAUCAUCUUCAUCACUUGUUCAGUGGCACUAAGAACAUUUGCAUUGCUGUGCAGCUGUCACCACCAUCCAUCUCCCCAAGAUUUUCAUCUUCCCAAACUGAAACUCUGCACCCAUUAGACACUAACUCUCCAUUCCU